CAGGGAAUAUUGCUUAAUGGGCGAAAGCCUGAAGCAGCAACGCCGCGUGUGUGAAGAAGGCCUUCGGGUUGUAAAACACUUUUUGAGGGGAUGAGGAAGGACAGUACCCUCAGAAUAAGCCUCGGCUAACUACGUGCCAGCAGCCGCGGUAAAACGUAGGAGGCGAGCGUUAUCCGGAUUUACUGGGCGUAAAGCGCGUGCAGGCGGCACGGCAAGUUGGAUGUGAAAGCUCCCGGCUUAACUGGGAGAGGUCGUUCAAAACUGCCGAGCUAGAGUGCGGGAGAGGGAGGUGGAAUUCUGGGUGUAGUGGUGAAAUGCGUAGAUAUCCGGAGGAACACCAGUGGCGAAAGCGGCCUCCUGGUCCGCAACUGACGCUCAGACGCGAAGGCUAGGGUAGCAAACGG
rnacentral:rRNA from 1 species